GUGCCCACUUCAGCAGCACAUAUACUAAAAUUGGAAUAGUAGAAAGAUUUAGCAUGACCCUGUGCAAGGAUGACAUGCAAAUUUGUCAAGCGUUCCAUUUUUUU
ensembl:snRNA U6 U6 spliceosomal RNA